rnacentral:rRNA from 1 species
GACGAACCGAGCGAACGUUGCUCGGAAUCACUGGGCGUAAAGGGUGCGUAGGCGGGUCUUUAAGUCAGGGGUGAAAUCCUGGAGCUCAACUCCAGAACUGCCUUUGAUACUGAAGAUCUUGAGUUCGGGAGAGGUGAGUGGAACUGCGAGUGUAGAGGUGAAAUUCGUAGAUAUUCGCAAGAACACCAGUGGCGAAGGCGGCUCACUGGCCCGAUACUGACGCUGAGGCACGAAAGCGUGGGGAGCAAACAGG